CCAAAAUUAAGUAAAUAUUGCCCACACAUUACAACAUCCACGAAAGAACCUUGCAAAUUAUUUUUGUUAUAUGCAUUAUUUUGCAUUCAAGUUCUUUAUUUUUUUAUACUUCACCUACUUAUAAUUGUUACAUAUUUGGCACAUGGUCCGUCACGCCCAAUUAAAGGGCCUGAAUAAGUAGAACGCGUUUCUGAUCAAAUUGCACGCCUGUUACUUUACCUGCAACCCGGAGCGGUGUGAAAUAAAUUAUUGUACAUUCGUGACGUUGGCAAUCAACUUAAAUAUUUAUGAGUUAAAACCAAACAUAACUAUAACGGAUAAUCAAAGAAAUUUUGAAAUUUUGAAAGCUUGUUAUGUUUUUAUAUAGUACACAAAGCAGUUAAACCAUAAAUUAUUUGUUGUUGAAAAAAAAUAAUCCUUAACCUUUCAUGCUUUUUUCAUUUAUUUUUAUUACCAGAUAUUUCCGUUUAAGUAAUACUUAUAUAUAUAACAAUAUAGCAAUCUAGAAAAAAAUUAAGGUAGCCUUAUUCCAAAUAUAGACGUUAGUUAACUAAGAAUAUAAAUUCGCUUUACAACCACAGCUUGUACACAAGUAAAAAAAAACAUGGUUUUACUUACAGGCCGUAUUGAACGUAGGGUAGGUUUAUGACAAAUACAACAGCAAUAAACAUAUGGCUGAGUCUGCUUUCAUGUACACUUUUUUUUUAAGUUAUCACUUUUAAAGCGGGUAAAGGGUACCUAUCAAGUAGCUUAGCAUUACCCAAAGUGAAUGUCGUGCUCCAGAAAAUGUUUGAACUAUGUAAUAUUUGUAUCACUGUUGCGUUACAGACCUGCAACUUUUUUCAGUGCGCGAUGUCACUCUCAUGUAAAAAUAUGCCGUGUUUAGCGCAAACGUGUUCGAAUGAAUCCACAUGGAGCUGCCAAAGAAUACCUAUCGAUGUCGGCAACAUACAUAAGUAUACAAACCAACGUUUACAAGUGUAUUCAUACCUGGUUCACCAGACCCCCGCCGCCCUGCAACAGUCGGCGCCUGCACCUCAGCUGCCUCGGGCCACCACCGCUGCGACAGUCCCGUCCCGCCCGGAGCGCAGCCCCUCGGUGACGGCGAGGGUCACGGGUUCGAGAUGCCCGGACAGGUCCAGGAGGCAGCCUGCCCUGUGGCCCGGUCAGAAGGGGGUGCACGAGGGGCCGACAAAUCUUCACAGACUAAAAUAACUGUGUGAAAUGUAAGGCGAACGUAAAAAAAAUAAUUAUGCGAUUGAAAUGUAUACUUUUAUUAUACUGUCUUAGUUACUUAAUUUUAUGUGUGCGUAUUCUUAUCAUAACUUUUUAAUUCAACCUUGAAUAUGUAUUAUUUAUGUGAUGCAAUAGUAAAAUAAGCAUUUUCACGCUUUGUCAAAUAUUCCGUUAAUGUUGUAAUUUUAAAAUGUGACAUAAUAAAACUAUGUUUUUUUUAAGUGAAAGUCUUUGCUGAGGGAGCUACAAAUUUCCAGCAUUACGAAAAUUCCGAUCACAUGAGGGGGAGAGCGAAGCACGAUGUGGGGGAACCAGUAGAGGAGGAGAGUGUGUCAGCAGCGAACCCAAUUCAACGCAUGCGCUAGCGGUCGAACGGGAAGAUGGCCAGGAGAGAGGGAUAGGUACUCUGCGUGGCUUGCUAUAUGCUAGUUUUAACGGCCGGAAGGGGAGAGGGCAGAAGACAGCUAGAAAUGACGCAGCAGUGAUGCUACGGAAUUCUCGUAACACUGCUUGUGUUUGUCUACUCCUUGGUUUUUGUAAAGGUUAACGAUUGAAGCUACCAUAUUACUUUUAUUUUAUUUAAAGUAUCUACUUUUUAUGAAUAGUGCAAUUGAAAAUGUAAAAAAUUUAUAAGUUUGAUUUAUUUUUGGUAUGUGAACACUGUGAUUGGAAAUGUCAAAAGGCCUUAUAGACUUGUGAAAUAGACUUUUUAAGUGUAAUUUAUGUUCGAUUGGAGUGUUUUUAUGUUUUUUUUAUUCUUAUUUAUUUAGCAGGAGAUCAUGAUUUAACAUCAUGCCUAAAAAUAAUAAAAAGGCAGAAGCAGAUAAGAGGUAUUAUCAAAAGCAAUGUGGGAAUAAACCUUCCAAAAGAGGCGCCAAAAAGUGCCAGUGAACAGAUGCAGGAGUACAGGGAACAGAAAAAGGCAUUUUUUCAUUUAAGAUCAUACCCGUAUCAUUACUAUUCUCAAUUAUUCAAUAAAAAAAAAGCAUGUGUAACUCAGUACACAUCAUAGAAGUGAAACAUCUUGGGCAAUCAAAACCUCGGCUCGUAAGUAUAUCAUAACGGGUAAAACGGCAGAGGGAGAGAAAUAGAGACAGAAGACAAUUUUUUUUGAAAUAACACAGUGCGGAGUUUUUUUGGCUUUUAUUUAUCUUUCAAGUAUAUAAGAAUCCUUACCUUUUUUUCUAAUUAUUAGAAAAUUGAUUGAAAUAAAACAUUAAUUAAUAAACAUGAAUUAACAAAAUUAUUACUUACUUUAAAAUAACUGCUCAGGAUAUCAAGAAUUAUUCAUCAAGUAAUAAUGAUUAAUUAAUAAUAAUAUUGCUAAUUGUUGAAAUACACUAUAAAGAAUAACUGUGCAUGUUACUGUUUCUUCAAACAAUUCUGCCAUUGGUAACCCCCAAAUCUCUGAACAAAAUAUAAAAUUUAUUAACAGGUAGCGCUAUCUAUGCAGUAAAUGCAGGAGCUGUCUCAACAGCGCUCUCUGCUGGUUGAACAAAGAGGAAUAUGUGCACGCUGGUAGCAAAUAUAAAAUUCAAGGCAUUCACGGCUGACUAUAUAGGCUACCUACAUCUAUUUUCUGAAACAAGUGCAUGCACACUCUCUCUGACUUAUUCUUUUGUGCAUCUAUCUCUCUUGCUUCUGAACCUUGAAUUUCUAUUAUUGAAGUGCAAGUGCACACCUCAACACAGAAUUAUGUUCCAUUCCAAGACAACACUGGGACAUUUGGAUGUUGCAUCAACCUCGCUGUGAUAUUGUGGUGUAACUUAGCUGUAAUUACAUCAACAAUUGGGUUCCUCACGUGGAGAGGGGAAGGUGUUGGUUGUGGUCAGGAUAGAGAUGAAUCACAAGCGUUGCAUUAACUCAGUGGUUCCCAAACUUUUUCAGCUGAUGUUCCCAUUUCAGACGUACAAGUAACCUCGUCUCAUCACUUUUCGACAACUCCAAAGAAAAGGAACAUAAAAAUAUUAUUUUUUAACAAAGAAAACGUGUUUUUUUAAGCAGAAUAUGUAAAAAUUGUUAAAUUAAAUGCUUUUUUUUUAUUAAUUUUUACUUUCCAGAACAAUAUUUUCAUAAAUUAACAAGUAAACCAAUUUCUCAUAGCCACUAAAUUCCAUGCCUUUUAAUUUUUAAUGACAUGUUAAGAUAAGUCUCAAAAAAAAUUGUGAGAUCAAUAAUAUUUUUAUAUUUGUAACAAUUCACAGGUUCUCAAAUCAUUCCACACCCCAAUUGGUACUAACUCUCUGCCCCUAGGGUAGCGUACGUCUCAGUUUGGAAACUACUGCUGAUUAACUGCUCCGUUUCCAAGCUUUUCAGUGUAGGUCUCCCUAAUGUUAUAGUGACUCAAAUUUCAACUGCAAGCCCUUAAGGCCAUGGUUCACUAUUUUCGUAAAUAUUGAAACAGAGCCCCCAUGAUUUAAGCUAUACAGCAGUAUAGCAGUAUCCCUUGCUCACAAACAAAUACAAAAAUAUGACAAAUGAAACUGGUUGCAGGUUCAAAUAUUCAACAGAAAUGUAGAAGAAAUGUUUGCAAGUGCAAGUUGUGAAGACUAAACAUUACACUUCAGGCUACAGCAAAUAUCUUUGUUGUUCAGUACAAUAAACAUGGAGUGAAAAAGAGUAUUUUAUUUUACGGAAGUGUGAGUUGAACUGUGCAAUCAUUCAAGAAUUAUUUUAAAGGGCUGCUCAAAUUUUUAAUUUGUCAAAAAAAUACAUGAGUGUACUCUUCAAGUCAACUUCUUGUAUGAUCACAGCUGGUUCACUCUAAUUAUGAUCCACUUCCAGUACCCUUCCACCUCGUGCCUGAGUACCAUUUUUGCAAGCCUAGUACCUAUAAGCACCAUUGGGUCAGGAACGCUUGUGACGUAAAAUGGGGCUUCUGGGUGCUUCGGCGCGCCACCUCCGCAGGUAUAAAAAGUCCCCAGUCGACAAGUGAGGAGGAAUAUGGCAGACCUACAGACAACGCCAGCGCGUUUCUUGUGUGCGACAUCGGAGCGACUGUAGGCCUGGCGAGCGAGAAAGAGUCUCCCUGGUAGUCAUACCAGUGAGGGUGACCCACACGAGUGUCUCAGGAGCCUCUAGCAGGGAGUCGGCUGCAAUGGGCGACAGUUGGGGACGGUGUAGCGGUGUAGCGGCGCAGCGUGGGUGGUGAGGUAGUUGUUCAGGACUGUGGUGUGCGAACAGAGAGACUGGCAGAAGAGCAAACCACUGUCAAGCCAUGUUUCAGUGAGCAGUGUUAAUGUUUCAUUGGGAGUGUAAGACUAUAUUUGCAAACAGAUCUGUUCUUGACUGAAUUAUUAGAGAAAAUAUUAGUAGAUAAAUAAAACUGUAUUUAAUUAAUUGGGCUAUCCUUUUCCAAUUUGUUUUCCCACUCGUAACAAUAUUAUUAGCAGCAUAUCAAAAACUAUACAUCUUUAUAAAAUUUAUAACUUUAUCUGCAUCAAAACCUGAUUGUAUACUUAGUUUUUCACCUUGAUCUGAAUUAAAAUAUUUUUUCUGUAAUUUGGAAUUUGAUCACUGAUUCUAAUAGAACUGAAAAUAACCACAAACAGGUUCUUAUAUCAAUAUUUGAAAAAUUGUAGGCUUUUGACAGUCUUUAUGUUCAACCAGUGAUGUACUAUUUAUUAUAAACACUUUAUACGUAAUCAUAAUUUGAUUACUCAGACAAAAUAUUUAAAUUGGAUUAAGAAUUUCAACUUACAAUCAUAGAAUUGGUGACACUUUUAAAACUAUGGGCGUACAUCCCGGGGGUGUCAUUGGGGACCGAAUCCCCCCUGAAAUCAAAAAUCCCUGAGGGGGCACGCUUGUGCUUGCAAAAUCAAACUUUGAAAUGUGAAUGAUAAACAUCCAGCAGCCCCCUCCCCCCUCCUUCUCAACGGGAAUCCAACAGAUUUUCGCCCAUGUUUAAAAUGAUUUAUAAACUUGAAUUGAUGUGUAAAAAAUUAUAACUCUUUAUGUAAUAAUCUAGAAGCAAUCUUUGGUAAAAAAAAAAAACUUAAGCAUAAAGAUAUUUUAACACUUUUACCAUUUACAUAUUUAUUUAGUGUUUGUGCUGUUUAGUUUAUUUCAUUAGACAAUUUCAGGACAAAAAAAUUGAUCUCCUAACCUCAGAAAAGUUGCUUCAUGACCAUGUACAAAAUCAGAUUGUUACAGGGUGUUUUUCCAUUAUGUAUCAUAGCAUAUGUGGAACUGCCACCCGAACGCAGCCCUGUGAACAUGAGCGCCACAUGCUCGAGGUAGGGUCCCCUCGGGAUGUUAAGUAGGGGGCAGGUGGACUUAAAGUAUGUGAAAGUGAUGAAACCUCAGCCUCGCACAGAAUGGAAAAUGUUCUCGAACACUGGCGCUGUGGUAUAUAUAGAAAUGUGGCUGCCCAUGCAUUCAAACAAUCUUAGACAUCAUUAAUGUCGGACACACUUCUUGGUGACUAAGGGAUUGAGGACAACGAAGCUACAAGUUGUAAACCGUGUCCUGUCUGUGAGUCUAUCAGGGACUGUUCUAUCCUGGGUGCAGCAGCCAUUUUGGUAGUGAGGCACGUGAACAAGUUACACACUCGCUGGGUGAGUAUAAGAUGAUGAUCAGUGCAGUUGACUCAUACAUCCAACCUGGCGAGUAUCAAACGUGAAGCCUGCCAAGCAAGGAGAGAUUGGCUAAUGAAUCGCUGUGGUAGUUUCGGCUCAUCCGCUUGACAGACGAGUGCGAGACGACAUAACUGCUGGUCACUGGAAAGGCUACCAGACCAGAGCGAGCAGUCCUGUGAAAGUCUAGGCGUCAGCUUCAUCCUCCGGAACUCACUGGACGAGUUCCUAUGCUGAAAGGAGUUUGAACAACUCAUCACGGCAACAAUAGCAGUCCAGCUGGGCCAAGCACGGCAGCCAACCACUCGCUACCAGCGAGAGCUUCACGCCUGUAAGAGUUCCGAGGCACACUUACCCAUGGAUGGUGAACUGACCAAGAAGAAAACGAAAAAAGGACCUUAAAAAUGUGAGUAGAAAUCUGCACAUGAGCCACACGUUUCGGUGGCAAACAUUUUAAUGGUCAAGAAAAGUAAGGACUUGUUCCAUAGCCCCAGAAUCAACAUAGUUAGAGUAACUGUAUAUACACAAGCAGUGGGUUCAGACAAAGAUAUAAUAAUUGUAACUUUUAAUUGUAUUUAAUGCUUAGUCCAUGUUAGUGAGAUUAACAAUAAUUGCAAAAUGAGUAAUGAUUUGUGAUACAGCUAUAAGUCUCUGAAAAAUAAUUCAUUCGUUAAAGAAUAUUUUAAUGCCUUCAAAGUGUAUUUAUAAUGGUGCCAGAGGCUGAAUAAUCAUUUCUGUUGACAGACUCAUAAAGGUAUUUGUUUUAUUGUUUUUGAAGGUAGCUGACGAAGGUAAAAUGCCGCUGUUUUGGCAUAUAAUUAAUGGUUAAUAUUUUGUCUGCUUUACAGCUCGUUGGUUAUGAUAUGACCUCUUUACGAACAAAGAAAACUAAAGAUGAUUUGUUAAAAUCUGGUUAUUAGUGUAAAGGUUAGUAUUUGGUUGAAUAAUAAACAUACUUGGUAAAACUGAAGAA